AUUGAACGCUGGCGGCAUGCCUAACACAUGCAAGUCGAACGAGUGGCGGACGGGUGAGUAAUGUCUGGGAAACUGCCUGAUGGAGGGGGAUAACUACUGGAAACGGUAGCUAAUACCGCAUACCAUCAGAUGUGCCCAGAUGGGAUUAGCUAGUUGGUGGGGUAACGGCUCACCAAGGCGACGAUCCCUAGCUGGUCUGAGAGGAUGACCAGCCACACUUGAACUGGGGAACGGGCCAGACUCCUAAGGGAGGCAGCAGUGGGGAAUAUUGGACAAAGGGGGCAAGCCUGAUGCAGCCAUGCCGCGGGUAAGAAGAAGGCCUUCGGGUUGUAAAGUACUUUCAGCGGGGAGGCGGUACCCGCAGAAGAAGCACCGGCUAACUCCGUGCCAGCAGCCGCGGUAAUAC
rnacentral:rRNA from 1 species